UUCGUAGGCGGUAAUUUAAGUCAGAUGUGAAAGGCGCAGGCUCAACCUGUGUAAGCAUUUGAAACUGGAUUACUUGAGUUAAGGAGAGGAAAGUGGAAUUCCUAGUGUAGCGGUGAAAUGCGUAGAUAUUAGGAGGAAUACCAGUGGCGAAGGCGACUUUCUGGACUUAUACUGACGCUGAGGAACGAAAGCGUGGGGAGCAAACA
rnacentral:rRNA from 1 species